GACGAACGCUGGCGGCGUGCUUAACACAUGCAAGUCGAACGGAAAGGCCUCUUUCGGGGGGUACUCGAGUGGCGAACGGGUGAGUAACACGUGAGUAACCUGCCCUUGACUUUGGGAUAACUUCAGGAAACUGGGGCUAAUACCGGAUAGGAGCUCCUGCUGCAUGGUGGGGGUUGGAAAGUUUCGGCGGUUGGGGAUGGACUCGCGGCUUAUCAGCUUGUUGGUGGGGUAGUGGCUUACCAAGGCUUUGACGGGUAGCCGGCCUGAGAGGGUGACCGGCCACAUUGGGACUGAGAUACGGCCCAGACUCCUACGGGAGGCAGCAGUGGGGAGUAUUGCACAAUGGGUGGAAGCCUGAGGCAGCAACGCCGUGUGCGGGAUGGCGGCCUUCGGGUUGUAAACCGCUUUCGCUCAUGACGAAGCUUUGUGUGACGGUAGUGGGUAAAGAAGCACCGGCUAACUACGUG
rnacentral:rRNA from 1 species